rnacentral:misc_RNA from 1 species
UCUCCGUUGGUGAACCAGCGGAGGGAUCAUUAUCGAGUUUUUCAAACUCCCAAAACCUUUGUGAAUUUACCACUUGUUGCCUCGACAGUUUAAAACUACCCGGUUGUCUUCUCACGAAGGCGGCUUGCCUACCCGGCAACUCUGCGGAUAGUCUGUCGGUGGACUACUUUAAACUCUUGUUUAUAUAAUGCCAAUCUGAAUUUUUAUACUUAAUAAGUUAAAACUUUCAACAACGGAUCUCUUGGUUCUGGCAUCGAUGAAGAACGCAGC